rfam:Butyrivibrio proteoclasticus B316 chromosome 1, complete sequence.
GUUUCCGUAGCUCAGCAGGAUAGAGCGUUCGCCUCCUAAGCGAAAGGUCGUGCGUUCGAAUCGCAUCGGGAACA